AGCUUUGAUUUUUAUGCAAAAAAAUGGCAAUUUAUAUGCAACCCCAUUCAUCUGACACAAAACAAAUAUCUACUGUGAUUUGAACCAAUUAUGGCACGAAUUAUAUACACGCAGCAGGAAGUACAUAUGAUAGAACACGGACAUAUAUAUGAUUACAAAAACCAUGUGAGCACACCUGCACAUAAAAAAUCAGACCACACAGCGGCUACAAGAAAAAACGGGAAAACAAAGCAUUAUACCUGUAGACCACAGGCAAAAGAUCAAGAACUUAUUUUUCCCAUCCUGAGAUUCAUAAAAUGCAUGCAUCCUGUGCCUGGUCAGUGCGCCCAGAUCUCAUGGCCUCCACCUCCCACAGCGCUGGCCAGCUAGAAUGGCUUGUCCAGCACAAUAAGCACCAGCUAUCUCCAAAUCUGCAGAGAAUUAAUUUCUGGACAAUGAAGAGCACUAGUGCAGCUGCUGCUACCUCAGCGGCAUAUCAUCGAACGGUUUACCUACACCUGGUUUGGAUGCAGCCGUGUCGAGAGUCAAGACUCUCCAUCCUGUCGCCGUGCGGGAGAGGGCACCGCUGCAGUUUAUGCCGUUCCGAAGGGCCGCUGCCGCCCGGAUCAGGGAGGUUGACGAGGUUCUGAUGGGGGCGCCGCCGGUGCACGAGCGACGUGCUGCUCCCGCUCAUCCCCUUUCAGCGCCAGGCCGCCUCUCGCGCGAUACAGGCCCAGCGCCGCCGGUGGAGAGGAGGGAGCACUGCUGCCGACGAGCGCCACGCCUGGAUAAGCGCCGCCGGUGUGGGGGUGGGGUCACACAUGACAGCCUCGCUCCUGGCCUCCACCGCAGCAGCACGCAUCGAUCUACGACCGUAUCACAUGUGGAUGCAAGCCGAGGAGGGGUGGGGGCGCCAGCCCGCUUCCAGCCGCGCCGCACGGAUCUCGUCGAUGCAGGUCGCCGAGGGGAGAGAGGCGAGGGAGGGUGCCGAAUGGCAGAAGCUUAAACUGCCAAUUUUCUGCACGAUUUCUGCCAUGACUUUCAUUAAUUAAUUAAAUAGUUUUGUGUUUUCUGCCAAUUUGGUGGCUCAUACCCAGGAAAAAAAACCGCGCCGUGCGAGCGUGAGCGCGGGACGCACGAGGUGCUCAAACUGCCAUU
rnacentral:lncRNA from 1 species